UGCUUCAAAAGUAGAGUCACUUGCAGAAUCUAAGCCAUCUGCGACCAAAUGUAUGGUUUUCCAACUAUAUCAUGUGACUACAGAUUGUAUUCCUCCAGUCCAUGUCUGAAGGCCUUGGCCAAGUGCAGUGCACUCUCACAAUGAAAUGAGAUGAAACAACAGGACAAAAGGACAGCCUGAUUGUUUAAAAGCCACUCCCAGCAAACAGCCUCCCUCCUAUGUGCUGUGACCAUCCACCAACUCCAAUCCUGUGCUGUGUUUUGCUUCCCCUUGGCCUCUGUUGGCCCUUGACUAACCAACCUGAUCCUGAAUGAAGACAAAGUCUGGGAAGAAAAGGAGGAUCCUUUGGUCAAGAUUCUAUUAGAGCUUCCAGAAGUUCCAGCGUGGUGUAACUGAGCUACUUCAAUGAUAAAUGACUGAGUGGAAGACAAUAAAUGCUAAGCACCUUUGCUGUGCUGAGAACUCACCGACAACAUCUGUAAAAGUCUAGAACUUUUGUCCAACCAGCUUUCAGAUCCUUUGUUGUUCUCUUUGAAUGACUUGAGCUCGGUCCUGAAUCCCUUCAACAUCUCUCAGUUCUUCUGCUGGGCUUUUAACCUGUUAUAUUAUGUUUAUUUAUAUGGCUGGCUUUGGUCUCCUGUAGAACUGUAAUCUAUUUCCAUUACUUCUGUUAUUUACUCAAUCUAACCAAGUAGGGCUUUGUUUAUCAUGGGUACUCAAUAAAUAUUUGAGUAUGGGGACAAAAGCAAGCAGAGUACUUGUUAAAAGUGAAGAUUCUGAACCUUACUCCCUAAUAUUCUGAAUCUACAUGGUAAUUGAGCCUGC